GCGGGAAUGGCGGAAUUGGCAGACGCGCUAGAUUCAGGUUCUAGUGAUCAUUACGAUUCGUGCAGGUUCAAGUCCUGUUUCCCGCA
rnacentral:tRNA from 1 species